rnacentral:rRNA from 1 species
ACUCCGUGAAGUCGGAAUCGCUAGUAAUCGUGCAUCAGAAUGGCACGGUGAAUACGUUCCCGGGCCUUGUACACACCGCCCGUCACACCAUGGGAGUGGACUGCACCAGAAGUGGUUAGCCUAACUUCGGAGGGCGAUCACCACGGUGUGGUUCAUGACUGGGGUGAAGUCGUAACAAGGUAGCCGUAGGGGAACCUGCGGCUGGAUCACCUCCUUAAUCGACGA